GAUGAACGCUGGCGGCGUGCCUAAUACAUGCAAGUAGGACGAGUUGCGAACGGGUGAGUAACGCGUGGUAACCUGCCUAUUAGAGGGGGAUAACUAUUGGAAACGAUAGCUAAUACCGCAUACCAUCAGAUGAACCCAUAUGGGAUUAGCUUGUAGGUGAGGUAACGGCUCACCUAGGCGACGAUCCCUAGCUGGGCUGAGCGGAUGAUCAGCCACACUGGGACUGAGACACGGCCCAGACUCAUACGGGAGGCAGCAGUGGGGAAUAUUGCACAAUGGGCGCAAGCCUGAUGCAGCCAUGCCGCGUGUAUGAAGAAGGCCUUCGGGUUGUAAAGUACUUUCAGUCGGGAGGCGUUACCGACAGAAGAAGCACCGGCUAACUCCGUGCCAGCAGCCGCGGUAAUAC
rnacentral:rRNA from 1 species